AGAGCCGCGGUCAUGCGCCCGCCGGCGGGCUCCUGUGUGGACUGGGCGCUGCCCAGCGUCGGCCGCGGCCUGUUCCGGCGGCGCCAUGGAGCGCAUCGAGGGGGCAUCCGUGGGCCGCUGCGCCGCCUCGCCCUACCUGCGGCCGCUCACGCUGCAUUACCGCCAGAAUGGUACCCAGAAGUCAUGGGACUUCAUGAAGACACAUGACAGUGUGACCGUUCUCUUAUUCAACUCUUCUCGGAGGAGCCUGGUGUUGGUGAAGCAGUUCCGGCCAGCCGUGUAUGCGGGCGAGGUGGAGCGCCAAUUCCCAGGGUCCCUAGCAGCUGUAGACCAGGACGGGCCCUGGGAGCUGCAGCCAGCCCUGCCUGGCUCAGCGGGGGUGAUGGUUGAGCUGUGUGCCGGCCUUGUGGACCAGCCUGGGCUCUCGCUGGAGGAAGUGGCUUGCAAGGAGGCUUGGGAGGAGUGUGGCUACAACUUAGCCCCCUCGGAUCUGCGGCAGGUCGCCACGUACUGGACAAGAUGUUGGGAAGAAGCCCAUCCACUUCCCCAGGGACACGAUGAUGGGCUCCUGACCCCAGCUGAGGUCUUGGGAAGGAGGAGGGUGUCACAGAGCCCCAACCCCACCAGCCGAGCACCAGCCUCCAUGGCCUUCUCCAGAGGCCAGGUUCCACUCCACCAGGAGAAGCACCGGGAGUCUCUGCACCUGUCAGCCUGGCACACGGGCCACUUGGGGUUGAGCCUGGGGCCCUCCUGCCUUGGCAGCCUCAAGGGCUUCACCUGGACUUGCCCCUGGCUGGGUGGGGUGGCCUGCAAGCUAAAGGCAGAAUUUCCACGCUGAAGGGUGGACUUGGGUGUGAAGGGUGGGGCCUCGGUUUUCUGCAGGUGUCCACUAUGCCCACUGUGUCCUCACCUCCCCGGCCCGUGGUACUGAGCACAGUUGGGAGGCAUGGGAGGGGUUGGAGUCCCCUUAGUCCCCCUGGAGGAGGUGGCCUGAGCAGAGUCCUGGCAGAGGGGCUGCACGGUGAAGGCUCUCGGGCUGCGGUGGUUCUGCGGGCAUGGCCCGAUGGUGAGGGUGCUGGGCAGCCAAGGAGGGCUCUGGGCAGUGAGCAGUCUGCGAAGACUUGCAUUGUGAAGAGCAGGCCUGUGGCUUCCGGGACGCAGGACUGGAGAUGGGGCUGACGGGGGUCCGGACGUCUGCCUCUGCGGGCCUGAGUGGGGCUGGGCUGACAGCAGAGUCCAGCCACCCGGUGGCAGAGCCCGUGGCUCUUUCUCUGAUUCUGGAGGUGAGCCAGGCCCCUUACCUGCCGAAGCAGAGGACAGGGCCCAGGGAGGCAGUCAGCUGGGGCGUGAUGGAGGUUGGGACGUGCCCGGGGGUGGGGGAGGUGUGGCCCAGCCUGGCUGGCAGAUUCCUCUCAGCCGGGCCAAGGGCCGGCCUAUCUCCUUCACAAACCAGAGGAAACGGGGGCUGGAAACCCCAGACCUGCCACUUCCCUCAGAGGCGCUGUGGUGGCCGCCGCCGGAAAUGGGCCAUCAGGAAGGGGUCUGCGGGAGGUGAAGGGCUGGAGGGCGAGGAAGCAGCUGGGUGAGGUCGGUCUAGGGUGGGUCUCCAUCCUGGGGGCGGGGAGGCCUUGAGGGUGGGGCAUGGAAGCCCCCAAUUCUGUUGGGCACAUCUCAGAAGGUCUCUACCCUGCAGGCCUCUGCCGGCCUCAGUUCAUGCCCCCCAACAGCCCCUUCUGGGGCGAGCCAGGGCUCCCCCACUCCGGCCAUCUCCCCAAAUGCCCCUUGGUCUCGUUUCUCCCUAGAUCCACACCUGGCCCCUCUGCCAUAUCCCCCAGCCGUGGCCACCCUCCACACAGCCAGUCCAGGGUGCUGCCAUUGGUGUCUUGCCCUCCUGACGGCCAGCAGCCCACUUCUGGCCACUGCCCACUGAGCGAGGGGCUCCCUCUCGCCUCUCCCCAGCCUGGGCCACUGGGCCUGGGCCUGAGGACCUUGCUGCCACCCUGCCCCACACUGCCGUACUUUGGGAGGUCAUCACAUGCUGUCUACUGUCUGGAUCUCAGGUCUGGAGUAGGACUGACUGGCUCCAGACAGACCAUGUUCUACACAGAGGUGACAGACGCC